rnacentral:rRNA from 1 species
UCAAGCAAAACAUAGGUUUAUGGUGGAUGCCUGAGGAGCUGCAAGGCGAAGAAGGUCGUGAUAAGCUGCGAAAAGCCGCGGGGAGAAGCACAUAUUUUAUGAUCCGCGGAUGACCGAAUGGAGUAAUCCGGCGGCAGCGAUGCCGUCACUGCGAUAUCUGAAUAAAAUAGGAUAGCAGGGCAAGACUGGGUGAAGUGAACCAUCUAAGUAACCCGGGAAAAGAAAUCAAAAGAGAUUCCGCAAGUAGCGGCGAGCGAACGCGGAGAAGCCUAAACCGCAAUAAGCGGGGUUGUAGGGCCGCACGGGGAUGACCCGGAAAGUUGGAAAAAACAUAUUCAUAGCGGAAAGGUUUUGGAAAAGCCUGCCGGAGAGCGUGAAAGCCGCGUAUGCGAAAUGGAUGUGUCUUUCUGGUGCGGUACCUGAGUACGGCCGGGCACGAGAAACCCGGCCGGAAUCUGGGUCGACCACGAUCCAAGGCUGAAUACUAGGCAGCUACCGAUAGUGAAGAAGUACCGUGAGGGAAAGGCGAAAAGAACCCCGGCAAGGGGAGUGAAAUAGAACCUGAAACCAUAAACCGGCAAGAUGUCACAGCCCGCAAGGGUAGUGGCGUGUCUUUUGUAGAAUAAACCUGCGAGUUACGGUAUGCAGCGAGGUUAAGGUAUGGAAGUACCGGAGCCGGAGCGAAAGCGAGUCUGAAGAGGGCGGAUAGUUGCAUGCCGUAGACCCGAAGCCAAGGUGAUCCAGUCAUGGGCAGGUUGAAGCAAGGGUAAAACCUUGUGGAGGACCGAACAGUAAUCUGUUAAAAAAGGUAGUGAUGACCUGUGAUUAGGAGUGAAAGGCUAAACAAACCUGGAAAUAGCUGGCUCUCCCCGAAAUGCCUUUAGGGACAGCCUCAUGUAAAAUUACCGGAGGUAAAGCACUGGAUGGACUAGGGGGCGUCAAAACCUACCGAAACCAAUCAAACUCUGAAUACCGGUAAUCAGCGCAUGGGAGUGAGACUGCGUGCUCUAAGGUUCGUAGUCAAAAGGGAAACAGCCCAAACCGACAACUAAGGUCCCGAAAUCAUGCUAAGUGUGAAAUGAAGUGCGGAUGCACAGACAGCCAGGAGGUUGGCUUAGAAGCAGCCAUUCCUUAAAAGAGUGCGUAACAGCUCACUGGUCGAGCACCUGUGCGCAGACAAUGUAACGGGGCUAAGCAUGAUACCGAAGUUUCGGACUCAUAUCAUAAGAUAUGAUUGGUAGGGGAGCAUUCCGUUAACCUGAGAAGGGAUACCCGCGAGGGGUUCUGGAGGAGACGGAAGAGAGAAUGCAGGUAUAAGUAACGCAAAGACGGGUGAGAUCCCCGUCCGCCGAAAACCUAAGGUUUCCUGGGUAAAGGCAAUCUGCCCAGGGUAAGUCGGCCCCUAAGACGAGGACGAAAGUCGUAGCCGAUGGGAAAUUGGUUUAUAAUCCAAUACCUUUCAAGUUUUGAAGGCAUGACGCAUGAGGUGAAAUCCGGCCGGAGAACGGUAGUUCCGGUCAAAGCGCCGAGCCGCUGAAGGAGGGUUUAAAAAACUUCCCGAGGCGAGGCGUUACAGCGAGAGGAGAGAAAGUCGAAUCGAAGCGGACGUAAUCAAGGUGCCGGGAAAUAAUGCCUAAGUUAGGCUUGGAAGACCGUACCGGAAACCGACACAGGUAGGUAGGAUGAGUAAUCUAAGGCGCUCGAGCGACCUCGCGUUAAGGAACUCGGCAAAAUGCGCACGUAACUUCGGAAGAAGUGCGGCUCACGUUUUUCAAAGGAUUGUGAGCGACACAAAGCAGGCCCAGGCGACUGUUUAUCAAAAACACAGCCAUCUGCGAAUCAGCAAUGAGACGUAUAGGUGGUGACACCUGCCCGGUACUGGAAGGUUAAGAGGAGCGGUUAUCCGCAAGGAGAAGCUGUGAAUCGAAGCCCCAGCAAACGGCGGCCGUAACUAUAACGGUCCUAAGGUAGCGAAAUUCCUUGUCGGGUA